AUUUUUAACAAUGUAUUAUUAAACUAAACUUUUAAAUUAAAGUUAACGAAGAUUAAUAAGUUAUUUAGCAGUAUUUUUAUUGUUACGAAAGUAGUUAACUAUUGUUUUUAUUACUAUUGUAUUAAUUAUUUUUAUUAACAUUUUACCUUUUACAGGUGAAGGUCAUAAGAAUGACCCAGUCUGAGAUGGGAGAAAUACCCGUCUUAGACUUGGACCUGAAGUGUGGAAGCUCUAUACUAAGCAUCACUCUGUGGCGCGAUGAAGCCCUGAUACCAGUGUCUCUGGAUGAUGAAAUAAUUCUCACUCAUUUAAGACCAAGCACUUCAAAUGGAGUCAAAAAACUUAAUAGCUCCUCGUACACCUCAGUCAAGGUUGUUGAUCAAAAGCCUAUGGAGGAGGAUAUUGAAGUGGUUAGCGUAUCUGAAACUGAAGAUGGUCUGUCUUCUGACAAAAGACUUCAAAGAGUUCAUAACAACUCCUGAUGUUUACAGCAUGUCGGUUGAUGAGAUGCUGGAAAUGCUGCCAGUUAAAUUACAUGUCGUACACCUAAAGAGGAGAAUCUCAAAAAUUGAACACCCACUGGAAAUGGAAGAGUAGUCUUAUUUACUGAAAGGGAUAGAUAGUUCACCCAAAAAUGAAAAUUGUGUCAUUAUUACUCACCCUUAUGUCAUUUCAAAUCUGCAAGACUUUUGUUCAUUUUCAUAUCAUAUCAACUAAGAUAUUUUUUAUGAAAUCUGAGCGCGCUCUGACCCUUCAUAGACAAGCAAAGGUUUUACCACAUUCAAGCCCCAAAAAGAUAACAAGAACAUUGGGAAAAUAGUCUUGUGACACAAGUGUUUUAGCUGUAAUUUUAUGAAGCCACAAGAAUACUUUUUGUGCACAAAAUAAUGACUAUUCUUCUUCCCAGAGUUACUGUGACGAGUGGGGCGGGGUCGAUGGACGUGGGAACGAGCGAGGCCGGUGGAGUGAUUGGGAAAUGAGCGACACCUGCGACCCACCACCGGUCUCGAGUCCCACAGAGGAGAUGGAAGGAUAUAAAACUGGAGCGAUGACAGUGAAGGACGAGAGAGGACCAGGCCUGGGUUUUAUUUUAUGUUUUGGUUUUUAUUUGUGCGCAUCAGUGUUCCGUGAGGGGCUGAUGCGCUAUUGUGUGUAUAUUUUUGUAAUUAAAGUUUCAGUUGAUUGUCCGCCGGUUCCCGCCUCCUUCUUCCCGAUGAAUAUGAAGGUUUUAUUAUUACAGUUACUGUCUACCAGCAUUAUUUAGAGUACCAAGAGCACAAAAAGUAUUCUUAUACCUUCUUAUUACGCUUGAACCGCUGAUGUCACAGGGACUAUUUUGUCAAAUGUUCUUGGUACAUUUCUGGUCCUUAAUUAUAGUAGAAUUUUUGCUGUCUAUGGAGGGUCAGAAAGCUCUUCAUCAAAAAUAUCUAUUUGUGUUACGGAAAUGAAUGAAAGUGUUACCAAUUUGGAACAACAUGAGCAUGAGUAAUAAUAACACAAUUUUCAUUUUUAGGUGAACUAUCCCAAAACGUUUACCAGAGAAAAACAUUUUGAAUG
ensembl:lncRNA